UACGGGGGGGCUAGCGUUGCUCGGAAUCACUGGGCGUAAAGCGCACGUAGGCGGACUCUUAAGUCGGUGGUGAAAUCCUGGAGCUCAACUCCAGAACUGCCUUCGAUACUGAGAGUCUCGAGUCCGGGAGAGGUGAGUGGAACUGCGAGUGUAGAGGUGAAAUUCGUAGAUAUUCGCAAGAACACCAGUGGCGAAGGCGGCUCACUGGCCCGGUACUGACGCUGAGGUGCGAAAGCGUGGGAGCAAACAGG
rnacentral:rRNA from 1 species